rnacentral:rRNA from 1 species
CGGGACGGGUGAGUAAUGUCUGGGAAACUGCCUGAUGGAGGGGGAUAACUACUGGAAACGGUAGCUAAUACCGCAUAACGUCGCAAGACCAAAGAGGGGGACCUUCGGGCCUCUUGCCAUCGGAUGUGCCCAGAUGGGAUUAGCUAGUAGGUGGGGUAACGGCUCACCUAGGCGACGAUCCCUAGCUGGUCUGAGAGGAUGAUCAGCCACACUGGGACUGAGACACGGCCCAG